rnacentral:rRNA from 1 species
UACAGAGGGUGCUAGCGUUGUUCGGAAUCAUUGGGCGUAAAGGGCGUGUAGGCGGCCUGUUAAGUUCGGUGUGAAAUCUCCCGGCUCAACCGGGAGGGUGCGCGGAAAACUGGCGGGCUAGAGUGCGGGAUGGGAGAGUAGAAUUCCUGGUGUAGCGGUGAAAUGCGUAGAUAUCAGGAGGAAUACCGGUGGUGUAGACGGCUCUCUGGACCGCAACUGACGCUGAAACACGAAAGCGUGGGUAGCAAACAGG